AGUGAACGCUGGCGGUAGGCCUAACACAUGCCAGUCGAACGGCAGCACAGUAAGAGCUUGCUCUUACGGGUGGCGAGUGGCGGACGGGUGAGGAAUACAUCGGAAUCUACUUUUUCGUGGGGGAUAACGUAGGGAAACUUACGCUAAUACCGCAUACGACCUACGGGUGAAAGCAGGGGAUCUUCGGACCUUUCGCGAUUGAAUGAGCCGAUGUCGGAUUAGCUAGUUGGCGGGGUAAAGGCCCACCAAGGCGACGAUCCGUAGCUGGUCUGAGAGGAUGAUCAGCCACACUGGAACUGAGACACGGUCCAGACUCCUACGGGAGGCAGCAGUGGGGAAUAUUGGACAAUGGGCGAAAGCCUGAUCCAGCCAUACCGCGUGGGUGAAGAAGGCCUUCGGGUUGUAAAGCCCUUUUGUUGGGAAAGAAAAGCAGCAGGUUAAUACCCCGCUGUUCUGACGGUACCCAAAGAAUAAGCACCGGCUAACUUCGUG
rnacentral:rRNA from 1 species